GACGAACGCUGGCGGCGCGCUUAACACAUGCAAGUCGAGCGAAGCGGCGGACGUGUGAGUAACACGUGAGUAACCUGCCUUAGACAUUGGGAUAGCCUCGGGAAACCGGGAUUAAUACCAAAUGGUCUAAGAUGGACUCGCGUCCCCUUAGCUCGUUGGUGAGGUAACGGCCCACCAAGGCGACGAUGGGUAGCCGGCCGGAGAGGGUGAACGGCGACUUUGUAGCUGAGAAACGGUCCAAACUCUGCGGGAGGCAGCAGUGGGGAAUAGUGCACAGUGGAGGGAACGCUGAUGCAGCGACGCCGCGUGAACGAAUACGGCUUUCGAGUCGUAAAGUUCUUUUAUAUGGGAAGCGGUACCAUAAGAAAAAGCCCCGGCUAACUACGUGCCAGCAGCCGCGGUAAUUC
rnacentral:rRNA from 1 species